AACGAACGCUGGCGGCAUGCCUAACACAUGCAAGUCGAACGAGAUCUUCGGGUCUAGUGGCGCACGGGUGCGUAACGCGUGGGAAUCUGCCCUUUGGUUCGGAAUAACAGUUGGAAACGACUGCUAAUACCGGAUGAUGACGAAAGUCCAAAGAUUUAUCGCCAGAGGAUGAGCCCGCGUAGGAUUAGCUAGUUGGUGUGGUAAAGGCGCACCAAGGCGACGAUCCUUAGCUGGUCUGAGAGGAUGAUCAGCCACACUGGGACUGAGACACGGCCCAGACUCCUACGGGAGGCAGCAGUGGGGAAUAUUGGACAAUGGGCGAAAGCCUGACCCAGCAAUGCCGCGUGAGUGAUGAAGGCCUUAGGGUUGUAAAGCUCUUUUACCCGGGAUGAUAAUGACAGUACCGGGAGAAUAAGCUCCGGCUGACUCCGUGCCAGCAGCCGCAGUAA
rnacentral:rRNA from 1 species